UGAUUACUUUGUGUUAAUCAUUAUGGUCUGCUUAUCUUUAUAUAUUGAGCAGCUUAGAGAGUUUUCGUCAUUUGCACUUCUGCAACAUGAAGAUCCUCAUUGCAGUCGGUAUUGCUCUUUGCAUAGUUGCUUUUGCUGAAAAUGAAGCGAAAGAAGAAGAACAUUUUAGAAACAUAAGGGAAGUAAAUAGUCUUGGAUCUAUAGACUGCAAAAUGAGUCCAUGGUCUCACUGGAGCAAGUGCUAUCCAUGUUCAGGCAAAAGAUUUCGCUCAAGAUCUAUCAUUGAAUUUGGGCAGUUCAAAGGUUUAACCUGCAGUCAACCCCUUGGUGACAGUGAACCAUGCCAAACAGCGGAGACAUGUAUUGAAGAGGUGCCACAGUGCAGUGCGGGAGAGUUUACAUGUGAUUCAGGACGUUGCAUUAAGCAAAGAUUGGAGUGCAAUGGAGACAACGAUUGUGGAGAUUAUUCUGAUGAGAAUUGUGAUGAAGAACCAAAAAGGCCUCCAUGCCACAAUUUAGAAAUCAAUGUCUCUGAACUUGGAAGAACAGCUGGAUAUGGUAUCAACAUACUUGGAAUGUCUCCCCGGUCCCUUCCUUUUGAUAAUGAGUUCUAUAAUGGAAUCUGUGACAAAGUAAGAGAUGGAAACACUCGACAAUAUUUUCGAAAACCUUGGAACAUUGCAACUCUAAUGUAUCAGACUCAAGUGGAUGAUUCAUUUACUCAAGAAGUAUAUGAAGAUACGACUUCAUUGGUUAAGGAUAUUUUGCAGAAAUCUAGUCAUUCAUUUAACAUUGGAUUAUCUUUCAAAUUUGAACCAACAGAGAACUUAAAAUCAAAUGAUUCAGCUAACAUCAACUUCAACUACAAUAAAUCUGAAAGCUUGAGAACAUUGGAGCAGUACACCAAUUCUAAGAACAAGGUAUUUCUGAGGGUGAAAGGAAGCAUUCAGCUAGGAACAUUCCGUGUACGGACCCGCGAGCCUAUGUUAACAGACACAUUUGUUGAGGACUUAAAAUAUCUUCCAGUGGGAUAUGAAAAAGGAGAGUACUUCCGUUUCUUUGAAGACUAUGGCACACAUUAUGCUGCCUCAGGAAAGGCUGGAGGCCAGUAUGAUCUUGUCUAUGUGUUGGACACAGAAAAGAUGAACAAAUUCAGAAGUGAAACAAAAGAAGUCGUUGAAUGUCUUGGAUACGGUCUUGGUUUGAAUGUAGAAAAGAUUGGACCUGAUGCAUUAAAAUUUGGGGCAGAACAUUGCCCCAAUAAGGAUAAAUUCUACACAGAGGGGGCACACAAUACAUCAGCAGUCAUUGGUGAUAUAGUUUCUUUAGUCCAAGGUGGCACCGUACAAUUUGCAGCAAGUUUCAACGUGAAAUUAAAGGAGAAAUAUAUGGUAGAUAUGGAGACCUAUGUGAACUGGGCUAAAUCCCUUAAUGAUGGACCAGUAUUGAUAGAAACUACACCAUCGCCAAUUUACACUUUGCUGCCACUGAAAAUGCCGCAUUACUCUGAAAAGAAGGCAAACAUUCAGCGAGCUCUGGAUGACUACAUAGCAGAGUACAGUGUGUGCAAGUGCAGGCCAUGCCAGAAUGGAGGCACAGCAACACUGGUGAAUGGCGAAUGCAUCUGUCUCUGCACUUUUCAUUAUAAGGGAAUUGCAUGUGAAAUUAAGAAACCCGAAGUCCCAAAAGAAACUCCAAAUGUCCAAAUGGGGAACUGGAACUGCUGGUCUAACUGGUCUGAAUGCAAAGGUGGCCAACACAUACGCACUCGCACCUGCAACUCAGGAGGAUUUGGAGGCACUUGUAACGGUGAAAGUGUUAUGUCUGAAUACUGUUAAAGACAACAUUUCUGCUUGAAAGGUAAGGUCAUUUUUAUGUCCAGAAGGGUAUCAUUGAUAACAAAAAACCAUGUGCUGACAAAAUAGACUCAUAGCUUAUUGAAACAUCACAUUAAUGCUCAGCUCAGUUGCAGACUUGAGUGGCGUCUACUUGUACUUUGCUUGUUUUUGUUUACGUCUGUUUACAUUUCUAUAAUGGAGUCUGGUUUCUUCCCAUAACCCAAACUUUACCAAGAGAGGCAAUGUAUGAAGAAAUACUUUAAAGUUGUGGUGAAAGUAAGUGGUGUGAAAUGAAACUCCUUGACACCACAAAAAGAUUGGGGGAAGCCUCUCCGUAUACUUGAAGUAUGGCUGAAAAAUGGCAAAGUAGCAACUGAAGGUCUGUAGAGACAAGAGUCCAACACAGAACUGAAAAAAACAGAAAGAUUAUGGCAGUUUUUAAGGUCAGUCAGGGGAAGUGAUAUCAUCGGGCAAGGAACCGAAAGUAAUGUCAUCGGGCCUAGAACCGGAACUCGUGUCAUCUGAGUCGGAAGUGACAUCAUCGGGCCCAGAAUCGGAAGUGGUGUCCUCAGCUCCCGUUAGAAUGUCCCGGUUUUUCAUCUGCAGGGAUAAAAGAGAAAGGAUUAGUGUACUCUGCCACCCUUUGGCCCAGCGUGGAAUUACCUUCUUUUGAGCCCUUUAGCUGCCUUCCAUAUGCAUGUGUGUGACAAUGGUGAUAAGUUUCCAAAAGAAUGACCGUAUCUUCUUCAAACAGUGUGUAUCAUAUUUAUCUUGUAGGCCCAAUGUUAUUGGUUUUGGUGAAGUUUGGUCUAAUACUUAUUUCCAUAUUCUUCAAAAACAGUUUGACUUAUGUUCAAUGCUAAACUGCCAUAGUCUGCUCUGUUUAGUCAUGGGACCAGGCUUAUUGAUUUCCAGUUUUUUUUCACAAGCAGUUUUCAGUUAUAUAAUUUAUUUAAAUAUAUAUUUACUAGGGGGUUUGCCCCCCUUGCUCGCUUCGCUCACCAACUCCCCUAGCCUGUGCUACGCAUGAGCCACUUCGCGUCUCUGCUGCUUGCAUUGGGCUGAACGCACCUCAAGGAGACGUGGUCGCUCCUCCAAAACCUCCUCUUCAAAGGUGAUACAAUGGGAAACAAAUACCGUUUUUUUUUAUCUCCUCUUUGCUCGAUCAGCUGCUGGCUUGCUGCUGCUGCUGUACCGUGUGAUCUGCAUCUCACCUGGUGCUUCGAACAUUUAAAAGCCUGUACAGCAGCAGUCCUAUUCUUUGUCUUUUAUUUACGGCCCUGGGCGUGGUUAAAUCUCGGCACAAAGUCUCGUCUCGUGGGAAGUGAGUUCUUAAUAGUUUUUAGUUUAUAAUUUAAAAUAGGAAUAAGAAUCUGAAAAUCUAACAAUAUCACAUUAAAGUUCUAUAAAUUCUGAAAAAAUGAUACCAAACAUAUAUAUGUAGGUUUUAAAAUAAGCCCGAUUUAAAGCGUGACAAAAAAGGUGACAUAAAAAUAUCACAUAAAAUUGUUACACCUUUAGGCUUAGGAUUAUAUAUAUAGAGAGUAGAUGUACACAGUGAAGCAUGCACACAUGCAUACACUCAUAAAAUGUAUGAGUAAAUUUAGUUGACAGCUUGUUUGCUCUACCAGAACACAUGCUGGAUGAUAAAGAGAAAGAAAUGAAUUCAAACACACACACACACACCUAGAUCUGUAAAGGUCGACAUGGACAGAGGUGUUAAGUCACCCUUGUGCCAAACUAUAUAUCUAUGCAGCUUUUUCAUUUCAAUUGAGCCAAUAUGUUUAGUAAUAAAUAUUACUGAAUUUGUUCAUUUGAUUAAAUUUUCUGUUUCUUUUUUCUCUAGUUUGAUUUGUGUACAUAAUAAAUAUUUCAAUGUAUUUGAUUCUAUAUUACUAAACAGUACAAUCGGUUGUAAUGUAUUACAAAACCAUCUAUUGAACGACUUCUUGUGGUAUCACUAAAGUAUAAUUUCGAUGGACCACACCUUACUGAUUUUUUUUUUUAGUAUUAUAUCUCAUCCUGGUCAUUGUUUGGAGUAUGAAUGUUCUCGGUUUUCUUGUUUGUUUUCUUCGCUUCCCAAAAAUGUGCGUAUUAGGUUAAUUAUCAUCUUUAAUUUGGUGCUUUAUGUGUAAGUAAGAGUAUAAACAGGAGAAUAUUCAUACUCUGAACCCCUUUCCAGCAGUGGUUCCUGACUCCUAACCAAUUCCGGUGGAAUAAUUUCUGGUUGUUUGUAAGUUUGUAUGAUCAUUAUUGCUAUGCAAAUAAAACAAACUAACCAAAGAAUUCUGUUUUGUCUGUUUGCUUCCCUAUUUCUCAUCACUGUGUGUGCACAUAAUGGUUUCAGUAAAUGUGUGCUUUCUCCAGCACUGCUUAUCACUCCAGUGAUUAGAAAAUGGAACAGGCCAGAAGCAUGAACUUUGACUAGCAAGGGUUUAACAAAAGAAUGUUUCUUCAUUUUCCAUAAAAAAAAUCAUGUCUGCCUAUCUACACUGAUUUGCAUAAGAUAACAAAAACAUAAAUAUAAUCUUUCCCUGCCAUGCGGGAUGCAGGAUGGACCAGUGGUUAGUUUUCUGCCUCAUAAAUCUAGCAUUCUGAGUUCAAACUGUGCUCCUGGUUGUUAUCUGUAUGGAGUUUUAUGGGUGUCUGUGCUGUAUUUUCCUCAGGUUACUCCAAAGACCUGUGCGUUAGAAUAAUAGGUAAUUUAAACUGGCCCUGUGUGGGCCCUGAAAUGGAGUGUCUCCCUGUCUUGGACUAGCUCCUGCAUAGCACCCAAAUCAAUCCAGUUCCAGUGGGGUUACAGCCCUUGGAGAGCCUUGUCCACCUUAAUGAUUCUGCCCCAUUGUUCUCUAGCUCUUCCUUUUUUUUUCUCCAUUCUCUUUGUGUUUCCUGAGAUCAACCUCCAGUUUCCCCAGCAGCUACUUUCUUAGAUGUCCAACACUUCUGCUGCCUUGUGGGUUACUAUUUUUUACUUUCUUAAGGGAUGCACCCAAUGCUGCCAGAAUAGCUUCCAGUUCAACUCUGAUUAGCCCGGUUUGAGGAUGGUAUCUUAUGUUGCUUGUAUCCAUUAGUUGCACAGUUUCUCCAUUUCUGUGAGAGUGAACUUGCAGCAUCUGUAAUAUUGGCAUAUCACCACUGACUGUGCUUUCAUUUUUUUCUCUGCAAAAAAAGGCAACAAAACUCACUUUCUUUAAAUGAUUAAAACAAGGACUGGAAUUUGGAUGUUAACUCAUAUAAUCUUUGCUGAACUGGUAAUUUUUGCUGUGAACAAUCGUCACCUUCUAUUUCAUAAAAAAUCAGAUACACAAUACUUGGUACAUGAUUUUAGUUUGCUUUUUUUAAUUAUUAUUAUAUUUUUUUCCAAACAGAAUUACUGAACAUCUUCAAGACAGAAAAAGAAGCACAAGGAUGAUGAAAUCAGGAGUCAUCGACAAAAACCAAAGCUGAUUUU